rnacentral:rRNA from 1 species
CAUGCAGUCGAGCGGUAAGGCCUUUCGGGGUACACGAGCGGCGAACGGGUGAGCAAUUCGAUGGGUGACCUGCCCUCCACUUCGGGAUAAGCCUGGGAAACUGGGUCUAAUACCGGAUAGGACCUCUGGAUGCAUGUCUGGGGGUGGAAAGUUUUGUCGGUGGGGGAUGGGCCCGCGGUCUAUCAGCUUGUUGGUGGGGUGAUGGCUUACCAAGGCGACGACGGAUAGCCGGCCUGAGAGGGUGAUCGGCCACACUGGGACUGAGACACGGCCCAGACUCCUACGGGAGGCAGCAGUGGGGAAUCUUGCGCAAUGGGCGGAAGCCUGACGCAGCAACGCCGCGUGGGGGAUGACGGCCUUCGGGUUGUAAACCUCUUUCGCGAUCGACGAAGCUCCGCUUUUUGGUGGGGUGACGGUAGGUCGAGAAGAAGCACCGGCCAACUACGUGCCAGCAGCCGCGGUAAUACGUAGGGUGCGAGCGUUGUCCGGAAUUAUUGGGCGUAAAGAGCUCGUAGGCGGUGUGUCGCGUCGGCCGUGAAAACCUGGGGCUCAACUCUGGGCGUGCGGUCGAUACGGGCAUCACUGGAGUUCGGCAGGGGAGACUGGAAUUCCUGGUGUAGCGGUGAAAUGCGCAGAUAUCANGAGGANCACCGNUGGNCGAAAGCGGNUCUCUGGGUCCGAUACUGACGCUGANGAGCGAAAGC